rnacentral:rRNA from 1 species
AACGAACGCUGGCGGCAUGCCUAACACAUGCAAGUCGAACGAGACCUUCGGGUCUAGUGGCGCACGGGUGCGUAACGCGUGGGAACCUGCCCUUAGGUUCGGAAUAACUCCCCGAAAGGGGUGCUAAUACCGGAUAUUGUCUUCGGACCAAAGAUUUAUCGCCUUUGGAUGGGCCCGCGUUGGAUUAGCUAGUUGGUAGGGUAAAAGGCUACCAAGGCGACGAUCCAUAGCUGGUUUGAGAGGAUGAUCAGCCACACUGGGACUGAGACACGGCCCAGACUCCUACGGGAGGCAGCAGUGGGGAAUAUUGGACAAUGGGCGAAAGCCUGAUCCAGCAAUGCCGCGUGAGUGAUGAAGGCCUUAGGGUUGUAAAGCUCUUUUACCCGGGAUGAUAAUGACGGUACCGGGAGAAUAAGCUCCGGCUAAGUCCGUG